rnacentral:rRNA from 1 species
GAAGGGCCGUCGAAGACUACGACGUUGAUAGGUUGGGUGUGUAAGCGCUGUGAGGCGUUGAGCUAACCAAUACUAAUUGCCCGUGAGGCUUGACCAUAUAACACCCAAGCAAUU